rnacentral:rRNA from 1 species
UACGGAGGGGGCUAGCGUUGUUCGGAAUUACUGGGCGUAAAGCGCACGUAGGCGGCUUUGUAAGUUAGAGGUGAAAGCCCGGGGCUCAACUCCGGAAUUGCCUUUAAGACUGCAUCGCUAGAAUUGUGGAGAGGUAAGUGGAAUUCCGAGUGUAGAGGUGAAAUUCGUAGAUAUUCGCAAGAACACCAGUGGCGAAGGCGGCUCACUGGCCCGAUACUGACGCUGAGACACGAAAGCCAGGGGAGCGAACGGG